AGCAUACUCAUGCGACAUGUCGCAGCACUCGAGUUACUGGAGCUACCCAUACCCAUGCCACUCAUGCCACUCAUACUCAUCUUACUUAAGCUCAUUUUGUUGCAAGAAGCGUUAGCCAAAUAUUGAGAAGUAUCUUAGGUAUCUGUCAAUAAAGGAUAAGAGCCGAUAAAAAGAAAGAAAAGAAGACACUCAAUGGAAAGCGUCUUAAACUAAAAUAACAAGUAUAACCGGAACAAUGCGAAAACAAAUGUCUUUUGUUGAAAGUAAGUUAAUAACACUAGUUUUACCACCUUUAAGCGAAAUAUCUCUCUAUGAGCUGGGCCUUUUUCGCAGACAGACAAAAUGUAUAAUUUAGCAACUUCUUACUGCUACCUAUACACUUGAAUUAGAAUGAUCACUACAGGUUUUUUUCAAGUCCUGAAUGUUCAAUUAAGCUGAACGCUCAAAUAUCGCUUCAAAGUGAACGGGGGUAGGAUUACCUUUUAUAGCAGUUUAAAAGCAUCAUCUACUGAUAUGCGACUUUUUCUCCUUUGGGUAAAAACUACCAGCUAUAAUCGCUCAGCAAAAUUCCCGCCAAAUGGUGAUUAAGGUAUUGCGGCGGGUCGCGUUAAUCGAAAAGAAUAUAAAAAUAAAAAAAAAAAGCAAAAUUAAUUAAUUAAUUAAAUCAAACAUACAAAGGAAUUUGGAUGAAUAUGAAUAUGUAAAUUUUAAUCCCGG